GGGGAAGAAGACACAAGUUUGCCAAAAUCCAACAUACCGGGUUGGGGCAGAACCCACCAGAAGAGCCUGGUCUUUUCACACAGCUGGAUUUGUGCAGUUUAAAAUUUCUCAGCAAUGCCCGCAUGGUGAUGCUGAGGGAGCUUUGGCUGGUUUUGAAGCCCCCUCUCUCGCUGCUGUCCCCGGGCUGGCUGCUCUGCACCCCCAGCCAGCCAGCAGGGCGAUAAGUGACCUGAGCAAAGAGGAUUUUUUUCUCUUGCCUUAUCUCCUCCCCAGGGUAAAUUCCUAGAGCUCCCUGUUCCUCUGCACCAACACGUCCUCCCGUGCACCACCGAUAGCUGUUAACUACACUCCCGGUCUUUGCAUCCCUCUUUGAUGUGCGAGAUGCUCAGGAGCUUUGUCUUUUGCAGAGGAUGUUGGUAGAUAAGCAACAGAAAACACAUGAAGGAAAGCUGUUGGUAAUGGCACGCUGCUCUCUGGCAGGCACUGCCUCUGCUCACUUACACCUCUAUCACACACACAUCCCUUCUCCAGCCUCUGUGGGUUUGCCCUUGCUUUGUGCUAGCCCAAAUCAGACCAGACUCAAACUUCUGCCUCCAUUUUCAACUCUGGAGCAAUCCCGUCACUUGCAGCCCUUCCCAGUCAAUAGCUGAACACGUCUGCGGUUUAUUUACCCAAAACACGAAUCCUGGCUGUGUUUGCAAAUCACUGUCACUGUCAGGGGCUCCUCCUAAACCACCGCCUUUGCCACACGGAUGGGCCCCACGAGCAGAUCACGCCGUGUACACGCUGUCACUCAGCACCACCACCAAAGCCCCUUUCCAAGCCACAACCCCCUCUCACCGGGCUGUUCAGCAAGCUGUAAUUACGCAGCUCACUCAGCACCCAGCACUGACACGCCUCUGGCAAUCCCCAUGUUGGCAUUUAUCUCCCGUGGCUUGCCGUGCCCUGCCUGAGCAGCCGGGGCGUGAUGGGGAGCCGGUUCCUGCCGGCACCGCGUGCCCCGAGCGCUCUCCUCCACCCACAGCGAGCAUGCCGCAGUGCCAAAGUUUGGACACGGGACCUCCAAGGCAUCUCCUGAGAAAUCAGGUGGUGGAAACUGGUUUGUUACAGAUUAAAGAUGCGUCUCGUGGGAUUAAAGUUUGCUGCUCCUCAGCCUACGACUUGGAAGCGACCGACCAGCAGGAGGAAGGGGCCCUCUUCUCAUUAGGGGCUGCUGCUCAUUGGUGCUGUUCUCCCCCCUUUCCUGGGCUGAAGGUCCUGCUGGUGACGGGGCCGGGCAGCGUGCUCCUGUGGCUGCAGCCCCCGAGAGCCCCGCUGCAGCCGGGUGCAUGGCCAAGAGGCUUUCAGUGGCUGCACGCUGCUCCAGUAACUGGGGAGGAACCAAACCACGCUCGGAGACAUCACAUUCAGACCAGUUCCAUCUCCUCCUCAGCACCUCUGAAGCCACCCAAGGUGCCUGUACCUGCCUGGCUGACACGACCCCCCGUGGGCGGUUGCCCCUCACCCACCGCCCUGCUCUAA
rnacentral:lncRNA from 1 species